rnacentral:rRNA from 1 species
CCUACGGGUGGCAGCAGUGGGGAAUAUUGGACAAUGGGCGAAAGCCUGAUCCAGCCAUGCCGCGUGUGUGAAGAAGGCCUUCGGGUUGUAAAGCACUUUCAGUGGGGAAGAAAGCCUUGGGGCUAAUACCCUCGAGGAAGGACAUCACCCACAGAAGAAGCACCGGCUAACUCCGUGCCAGCAGCCGCGGUAAUACGGAGGGUGCGAGCGUGAAUCGGAAUUACUGGGCGUAAAGCGCGCGUAGGCGGUCUGAUAAGCCGGUUGUGAAAGCCCCGGGCUCAACCUGGGAACGGCAUCCGGAACUGUCAGGCUAGAGUGCAGGAGAGGAAGGUAGAAUUCCCGGUGUAGCGGUGAAAUGCGUAGAGAUCGGGAGGAAUACCAGUGGCGAAGGCGGCCUUCUGGACUGACACUGACGCUGAGGUGCGAAAGCGUGGGUAGCAAACAGGAUUAGAUACCCGUGUAGUC